UAUGCUAUACACAGACUCUUGUACUGUACAGCACGUAACAGACACCCAAUAUUUUCUCAAGAAGAGUUUCGUUCAGAACUGUGACCAUGACUCAGGGAAAGAAGGUGGAAGGCCUAGUUACGGUGGAGUUGAUCCACCUGGAGAUGGUGAGAUGCCUACAGAAAUCAGCUCCGAUGACCAAAACAUCAGGAGAAUCUUUAUCCUAAAGAUGUACAUUUCCUUGAUGAUCCAGCUUUCUGUCACAGUUUCCUUCGUGGUUGUUUGCAUUUACUGGAGGCGGUUCCCUUGGAAUCUUAUUGUCUUCACAAUCUUUACCCUAUCUUUUUCUUACAUUACAGGAACGGUGACCAGCUAUGCCUAUUAUAAUGCAGAAGUCAUCUGCUUGCUGGCUAUUACUGAGCUGGUGCAGUUUGUUGUUGCCACCUGUAGCGUCCAAACCAACAUCAACAUGACUCCAUGCCAAAGUUUGAUUUUUGUCGUCUGCUUAGUGGUGUUUGGUAUUGGACUUGUAGCGUUAUUCCCUCAUAUACAUUUUCUAAUUUGGCAUCCUAUUUAUGCUUCUUCAGGAGCAGUAUUGUUUACCAUGGGGAACCGGAGCACCCAGAGGAAACCCACACGAACACGGGAAGAACAUGCAAACUUCAUACAGAAACGCCAACUGACCCAGCCGAGCCUCAAACCAAUGAUCAUCUGGCUGUGAGGUGAUCGUGCUACCCACUGCGCCACCGUGCAGCCUCGAGAAAUUACAACAUUUUUUUGUUUAAAAUGAGAACUCAUUGGUACAUGGGAUGCUGAUGGGAAGUGAGGGAUACACCAUAAGCCCCGAGGAAUACAUACAUCUUCGCCUCUCUCAGGAUUUAUCUGGACAUUGUUUACAUCUUUUUUUUUUCUCCAGCUGUUUGAACUCCUGAAGAGAGUAAUUGUUGAUCCUGAAGCUCUUGCAGCUCUCCUGAGUGUCUCUCUCGGAUGUGAGUGAUCUUGUUCUUUCAGCAAGAUAUGGAUCUUCAGAGCAAAACGUUGUGAUUCACCUCUUUUUUUUUUUUUUAAAGACUUUUACCAUAUGCAACGCUUGUUUAUUUGGUGACGAGGAGGAGGUCUUGCGUAUACAUGGUAUACAUACACUGGUUAAGAUGAACAGCAUCUAUCUAGUUUUGCAAAUGGUGUCAUAAAAACUGAUCAAAAUAUGAUAGCAGUGAAAGUGCAUGAAAUAUUUGGUCAGAACAGAAACAUUACAUGGCAGUGAAACUGUAGUAAAAUGUAUGUCCUUUAUUCGUUUGUGAAUUCGCAGCAUGAUGAUGUCAUUCUAGAAAAUCACUAUAUUGAGAUGGACAGAGAUCUGAGAAGCGCAUAUCAUAUUUUAGGAACGCAUCACCUACUAUACUCUUCAUACUACAACCACCAAACUAACUCCAAACUAUUCUGAAUUAAGUUGCUGUAUCUUUUCCAACUGAUCUGACUCACAGUUUUAUGAAAACUGACCUGAAAAAUUCAGAAAAGUCCCAUUGACUGAACAUUGGACCAACUAUUGUGACCUUAUAACUUUGCUACAGACUAUCAUAAUGACUUAAGACUGGGCUCAUUUAACUCCGACUGCCAAUCUGCCAAUCACUGAUGAACUUUCAACUUACUAACCACACCCUAGCAACCAAUUGCAGGACUCUAGCAAUUGUUCUAUAGACUUCCAGAGAAAUGUAUUGACUUUACAUUGGACAAAAGUUUGUUACCUCAUAACUCUGCACCAGUAUGUCAUACAGACAUAAGUCUGGGCUCAUUUAACUCAGACUACCAUACUUGAAACAUGCUAGCAAAAUACCAAUCCAUACAAGAAUCACACAAGAAACAUACUAACAAUACACCUAUCCAUACUAACAAUAUACUAUAAUCCACACUAUAAACUAUUAAAAUUCUAAUUCAUACUAAAAUCAUACAAGAAACAUGCUAGUUCAUACUUAAAUCAUGCUAACAACAUGCUAUUUCAUAGAAGCAUGCUAGCAACAUGCUAACAGCCUGUUAAAGCAAGCAAGAAAUAUGCCAAUCCAUGCUAAAAUAUACUAACCUAUACUUAUCUGUCUAUGCAAACACUUUCAAGCUUAAAACUACUGCAAUUAUUUGAACUGUAAACUACUUUAAGCUUUCUGUCUCAAAAGUUUGCCUUGACGAUAUUUAAAUUUAGUUGUGAGUUGAUCUGCUAA